GGGGGAGAGGAGGGGGCGUGUCGCAUCCCCCUCCGGGGCGGGGCGGCUGCAGCCCCGGGCCCCCCCCGCUGGCACAAGGCUCCCCCCCCCCCCCGCAGCUCUGACUGUAUUUUUCCAUUACCCCAUCCCAGGCCCCGCCUCCGGCUCCCACGUGCGCCGGUCCGGUCCCCCCCCCCCCCCCCCAGGCUAUGGUCCAGCGCGUGUGUGGGGCGAGGGGCGGGGGAGUCCCUGUGCGCCCCCCCCCCCCCGCCUCCCUCCUGCAGCCCGGCCGGUGGGAAUCAGCGGGCAGCCGGCAGCACCUACCAGGUCUCCCACAAGGCCCUGCCAUUCCUCACCGGCUGACUCACUGCCAAGGGGCUGUGUGCGCGUGACCUGCGCUCAUCUCCUCGCCCGCACGCCUUUCAGAAGUGCCUGCAGUCAAACGCCUGCUCCCCACGCCGGGGCCGUCAGAAUAUACUCAGGCCUUGGACACAGCAGGAAUCAAACCCACCUGACUUCAUCGAUCAAACUGGCUAGAGGAGCGACUCUUGGCUCCAUUCAUGGGGGAUUUGGGUUGGGCCGGGGAAUUUCCCAGCCUCCUGAUCUGGGCGACCCAGCCCACAAUAAAUACACAAUAAAUCACAAUAAAACGAA